rnacentral:lncRNA from 1 species
AGUGGAUACUGUCAAGGAAGAAGCAGCUAUAAGACACGCAAAAUACGGCCCCACAUCAUUCUCUCCUGUAUUUAAGGAACUAGAGAAAGAACUGUGAUCCGUUGAUAUUGAACUCUUCAAUUGUGGUUCAUAACUUAAGCCAAUAUCAACCAACUUUAGAAGGAAAGAUGUCUGGUGUGUAGGUUGGAGACCUUCCCGCAGAUUAGUGUGAUCUGUGUUUACAACUUCAGGAGA